UACCAGCAGCCCCGAGUGGUCGGGACGUUUAUUGGGCCUAAAGCAUCCGUAGCCGGUUCUACAAGUCUUCCGUUAAAUCCAACUGCUUAACAGGUGGGCUGCGGAAGAUACUAUAGAGCUAGGAGGCGGGAGAGGCAAGCGGGUACUCGAUGGGUAGGGGUAAAAUCCGUUGAUCCAUUGAAGACCACCAGUGGCGAAGGCGGCUGCCAGAACG
rnacentral:rRNA from 1 species